GAAAUAUCCUGCACAGAUACUGUCUGCUUCUAGAGUCUGGCUUAUAGACAGAUUCAAACAUUAACGGAAAGGACAAAGUCUACCUUUGUGUUUCCACUGAAGAAUGCAUUUCUAAAGAACCUACCUCAACAUGACAGGGGGUGCAGACAAAGACCAGAGUGGGCACUGCCGGAGGGCAGUACCCUGAAGACGACACCAAAAGGGAGUGUGUUGAAACAGCCAGCUACUUCCCAAAGCCACCUUGCAGAAGGAGCCGUGCUGGGCCUCAUGAGUAUGAAGAAAACCCCAUGAAGAAUGGAAACCUUCCCUCCCCUGAGUAACGAGAAGGGUAUACAAUAAGUCACACUGGACUUCUCAAAAGCCUAA